rnacentral:rRNA from 1 species
CAGUCGAGCGGAGAUUAUUAAGCGGAGAGCUUCGGCAGGAAGCUUAACNNNCUUAGCGGCGGACGGGUGAGUAACGUGUGGGCAACCUGCCCUGUACUGUGGAAUAAUCACUGGAAACGGUGACUAAUACCGCAUGUCAUCUAAGGAAGGCAUCUUCUUUAGAGAAAAGGAUUUAUUCGGUACAGGAUGGGCCCGCAUCUGAUUAGCUAGUUGGUGAGAUAACAGCCCACCAAGGCAACGAUCAGUAGCCGACCUGAGAGGGUGAUCGGCCACAUUGGGACUGAGACACGGCCCAAACUCCUACGGGAGGCAGCAGUGGGGAAUAUUGCACAAUGGGCGAAAGCCUGAUGCAGCAACGCCGCGUGAAGGAUGAAGGGUUUCGGCUCGUAAACUUCUAUCAAUAGGGACGAAAAAAAUGACGGUACCUAAAUAAGAAGCCCCGGCUAACUACGUGCCAGCAGCCGCGGUAAUACGUAGGGGGCAAGCGUUAUCCGGAAUUACUGGGUGUAAAGGGAGAGUAGGCGGCAUGGUAAGCCAGAUGUGAAAGCCUUGGGCUUAACCCGAGGAUUGCAUUUGGAACUAUCAAGCUAGAGUACAGGAGAGGUAAGUGGAAUUCCUAGUGUAGCGGUGAAAUGCGUAGAUAUUAGGAAGAACACCAGUGGCGAAGGCGACUUACUGGACUGAAACUGACGCUGAGGCUCGAAAGCGUGGGGAGCGAACAGGAUUAGAUACCCUGGUAGUCCACGNCGUNNNCGAUGAGUGCUAGGUGUCGGGGGGNNACCCUC